UACGGAGGAUGCGAGCGUUAUCCGGAUUUAUUGGGUUUAAAGGGUGCGUAGGCGGAUCGUUAAGUCAGUGGUCAAAUUGAGGGGCUCAACCCCUUCCCGCCAUUGAAACUGGCGAUCUUGAGUGGAAGAGAAGUAUGAGGAAUGCGUGGUGUAGCGGUGAAAUGCAUAGAUAUCACGCAGAACCCCGAUUGCGAAGGCAGCAUGCCGGCUUCCGACUGACGCUGAAGCACGAAAGCGUGGGGAUCGAACAGG
rnacentral:rRNA from 1 species